rnacentral:rRNA from 1 species
CCUUUGACGUUAGCGGCGGACGGGUGAGUAACACGUGGGUAACCUACCUAUAAGACUGGGAUAACUUCGGGAAACCGGAGCUAAUACCGGAUAAUAUUUCGAACCGCAUGGUUCGAUAGUGAAAGGUGGUUUUGCUAUCACUUAUAGAUGGACCCGCGCCGUAUUAGCUAGUUGGUAAGGUAACGGCUUACCAAGGCGACGAUACGUAGCCGACCUGAGAGGGUGAUCGGCCACACUGGAACUGAGACACGGUCCAGACUCCUACGGAGGCAGCAGCC